rnacentral:lncRNA from 1 species
AUUGCAACAGGCCAGGAGAAGUGUUUAAGUUCUUUCCCUUUUGGUUCAGACUGAGAAGAGUCCUGUUUUGCCUCCUUGUUUAAAGCUCCCUUGCCUACGUUGUCAUUCUCUCUAGCUCAUUGAAAACCUUUAGGAAAUUUCACAUACUUGGUAUUGUGAUAUUGUGGUAUUGUGGAGAACCAAAGGAUGGGACAGUAAAUGACGUUUGGUCUUCCCUCAACCACCCCUCUGCCCAGCAUGCCAGCAGAACGUUUUAUUAAGGGAGGCUGGCAGUACCAAGGCUUUCAGCAGCAACCAGCUGCAAACUGAACAGAGGCUUAAUUAACACAAAGGCUGGAAGCCUUGAGAGGGAACCGGGGGUAAUGAAGACAUAGCUAGAUGGUGGCCUGAUUUGGGGACAAACAUGAGACAAACUUGCUAUUUCUUUUUCCCCAAAUAUACUACAGAAAUGUGACUGACUCUUGAGAAGAGUGGAGAAUAUGAAUGUGCCGGGGGGAAGAAGUUUCACCAACAGGUUCUUUCUCCCUUGGAGGCCAUUUGUAACUGGCAGACAAAGCUGUUAUGUGCUGAGCUCAUCCUUCACUGGUGGAGUACCCCAAAACUGAACAGAGCUCUGGAUGCUUCUGCUCUCCAGCCUUGUAGCAUAGAGAAGAAUACGUAAAUCCCGUUAAUGAACAUUUGAAAUGAAUUUUGAUGCACUAUUAAAACAGAAACAACUUAAAAAUGCAUGAAGGUCUGGACAGGUACGGGACAUCAUUGGGAACAUCAAGCAUUAAUCCAGGUAGGUGAGGGGAGGGGAGAAUGGUCUCUAUCAUGUGCUUUUACUAUCACUUAGCAGAUGUGGUAUUUUGAGGUAAUCACCAUAAUACCACCUGUUUAGUCUUAAC